rnacentral:rRNA from 1 species
CGGACGGGUGAGUAAUGUCUGGGAAACUGCCUGAUGGAGGGGGAGUAACUACUGGAAACGGUAGCUAAUACUCGCAUACGUCGCAAGACCAAAGAGGGGGACCUUCGGGCCUCUUGCCAUCGGAUGUGCCCAGAUGGGAUUAGCUAGUAGGUGGGGUAACGGCUCACCUAGGCGACGAUCCCUAGCUGGUCUGAGAGGAUGACCAGCCACACUGGAACUGAGACACGGUCCAGACUCCUACGGGAGGCAGCAUG